rnacentral:rRNA from 1 species
UACGUAGGGUGCAAGCGUUUGUCCGGAAUUAUUGGGCGUAAAGAGCUCGUAGGCGGCCUGUUGCGUCCGCUGUGAAAGCCCGGGGCUUAACCCCGGGUCGGCAGUGGAUACGGGCAGGCUGGAGUUCGGUAGGGGAGACUGGAAUUCCUGGUGUAGCGGUGAAAUGCGCAGAUAUCAGGAGGAACACCGGUGGCGAAGGCGGGUCUCUGGGCCGAUACUGACGCUGAGGAGCGAAAGCGUGGGGAGCGAACAGG